AUGGAUGGGGCCGCCCACAUCGCUAGCGACUCCUCGGAGGACGACAGGGCCUCCUCCUCCGCGUCCUCUACCGGUUCGGCCUCCUGGCGCUCCCAGCUGCACAAGUGGAUUCACCUGCGGCGGCGCCGGCGCCGGCGCCCGUUGUCCGCUCGGAGAGGAGAGGGCGGUGAAGCCAACGGCAAGGGCGACGGUGACGACGUGCAGGACCUCGCGCUGCCGCUGGGGAGAUGUCCUUCGCGGCGGUUCUCGCCCAGUACAUGCCUUUGGAAAACCAUGGCCAGUGUUGUUUCCACCGGACCGGGUCCUCUCUCCGCUGUUCUGAUCUAA
rnacentral:rRNA from 1 species